CGACGAUCAGUAGCGGUCUGAGAGGAUGAUCAGCCACACUGGGACUGAGACACGGCCCAGACUCCUACGGGAGCAGCAGUGGGGAAUUUUCCGCAAUGGGCGAAAGCCUGACGGAGCAAUACCGCGUGAGGAGGAAGGCUCUUGGGCCUUGUAAACCUCUUUUCUCAGGGAAGAAAAAAAUGACGGUACUGAGGAAUAAGCAUCGGCUAACUCCGUGCCAGCAGCCGCGGUAAU
rnacentral:rRNA from 1 species